rnacentral:rRNA from 2 species
UAAGCCUGUGAAGGUGUGUCGUGAGGCAUGCUGGAGGUAUCAGAAGUGCGAAUGCUGACAUAAGUAACGAUAAAGCGGGUGAAAAGCCCGCUCGCCGGAAGACCAAGGGUUCCUGUCCAACGUUAAUCGGGGCAGGGUGAGUCGACCCCUAAGGCGAGGCCGAAAGGCGUAGUCGAUGGGAAACGGGUUAAUAUUCCCGUACUUGGUGUUACUGCGAAGGGGGGACGGAGAAGGCUAUGUUGGCCGGGCGACGGUUGUCCCGGUUUAAGCGUGUAGGUGUGUGUUCCAGGUAAAUCCGGUUCACUUUAACACUGAGGCGUGACGACGAGGCACUACGGUGCUGAAGCAACAAAUGCCCUGCUUCCAGGAAAAGCCUCUAAGCAUCAGGUAACAUCAAAUCGUACCCCAAACCGACACAGGUGGUCAGGUAGAGAAUACCAAGGCGCUUGAGAGAACUCGGGUGAAGGAACUAGGCAAAAUGGUGCCGUAACUUCGGGAGAAGGCACGCUGACACGUAGGUGAAGUGAUUUACUCAUGGAGCUGAAGUCAGUCGAAGAUACCAGCUGGCUGCAACUGUUUAUUAAAAACACAGCACUGUGCAAACACGAAAGUGGACGUAUACGGUGUGACGCCUGCCCGGUGCCGGAAGGUUAAUUGAUGGGGUCAGCGCAAGCGAAGCUCCUGAUCGAAGCCCCGGUAAACGGCGGCCGUAACUAUAACGGUCCUAAGGUAGCGAAAUUCCUUGUCGGGUAAGUUCCGACCUGCACGAAUGGCGUAAUGAUGGCCAGGCUGUCUCCACCCGAGACUCAGUGAAAUUGAACUCGCUGUGAAGAUGCAGUGUACCCGCGGCAAGACGGAAAGACCCCGUGAACCUUUACUAUAGCUUGACACUGAACAUUGAGCCUUGAUGUGUAGGAUAGGUGGGAGGCUUUGAAGUGUGGACGCCAGUCUGCAUGGAGCCGACCUUGAAAUACCACCCUUUAAUGUUUGAUGUUCUAACGUGGACCCGUGAUCCGGGUUGCGGACAGUGUCUGGUGGGUAGUUUGACUGGGGCGGUCUCCUCCUAAAGAGUAACGGAGGAGCACGAAGGUUGGCUAAUCCUGGUCGGACAUCAGGAGGUUAGUGCAAUGGCAUAAGCCAGCUUGACUGCGAGCGUGACGGCGCGAGCAGGUGCGAAAGCAGGUCAUAGUGAUCCGGUGGUUCUGAAUGGAAGGGCCAUCGCUCAACGGAUAAAAGGUACUCCGGGGAUAACAGGCUGAUACCGCCCAAGAGUUCAUAUCGACGGCGGUGUUUGGCACCUCGAUGUCGGCUCAUCACAUCCUGGGGCUGAAGUAGGUCCCAAGGGUAUGGCUGUUCGCCAUUUAAAGUGGUACGCGAGCUGGGUUUAGAACGUCGUGAGACAGUUCGGUCCCUAUCUGCCGUGGGCGCUGGAGAACUGAGGGGGGCUGCUCCUAGUACGAGAGGACCGGAGUGGACGCAUCACUGGUGUUCGGGUUGUCAUGCCAAUGGCACUGCCCGGUAGCUAAAUGCGGAAGAGAUAAGUGCUGAAAGCAUCUAAGCACGAAACUUGCCCCGAGAUGAGUUCUCCCUGAGACUUAAAGUCUCCUGAAGGAACGUUGAAGACGACGACGUUGAUAGGCCGGGUGUGUAAGCGCAGCGAUGCGUUGAGCUAACCGGUACUAAUGAACCGUGAGGCUUAACCUUACA